UAAUUUAAGGUCUAGCCUGCCCACUGAAAUUUUAAAUGGCCGUGGUAUUUUGACCGUGCUAAGGUAGCAUAAUCAUUAGUUUUUUAAUUAAAAACUGGAAUGAAAGGUUGGAUAAGAAAAUAGCUGUCUCUGUUAAAUUUAAUUAGAAUUUUAUUUUUAAGUUAAAAAGCUUAAUUAUUAUUAAAAGACGAGAAGACCCUAUAGAGUUUAAUUAUUAAAUAAAAAUUAUAUUUUAGUAUUUAUUUAUUUAUUUUAUUAAAUAAUUUAAUUGGGGUGAUUGAAAAAUUUAAUUAACUUUUUUUAUUUAGAAACAUUAAUUUAUGAAUGAAUGAUCCAAUAUUUUUGAUUAUAAGAUAAAAUUACCUUAGGGAUAACAGCGUAAUUUUUUUAGAAAGUUCAUAUUAAAAAAAAAGAUUGCGACCUCGAUGUUGGAUUAAAAUAAAUUUUUGGUGUAGAAGCUAAAAUAUUAGGUCUGUUCGACCUUUAAAAUUUUA
rnacentral:rRNA from 1 species